CUGCAGCAGGGAAUACAAAAAGAAGAAACCCUUUUUGUUAACAUAAAAUGUUACCAAAAACAUUUGAAUCAUAAGUUUUGAUGGCCUUAAAAGUAAGUGCAUCAGAAUGAGACACGUGGACAAGUAGGAUGUGAGCUCUAUUUAAGGCAAUAGAAAAAGAAACAAGUAAAUGCAUUGGUGCAUUCUGUAAAUGAGUUGCUUAAACCAGGAGUCUGGGUUGGGGGCCUUUACUGCCCCCACAUGUCUGUGUGAGAACAUUACACAAACAAGACAUGUUCUGAAUUUGUUUUCCAUUGUUUACGUCAACUACUGUUUACAUGUAUCACAGUUGUGCCUGCAGGUUCUACGUUUAAGACCCCUGAUACAACAUAAAAGACUUCUACUUCUGGUAAAGAUAUGGAGCUGAUUUGGUGUCAGAUUUGGUUUCAUACCUGGAGAAAGUGCAGCAGCUCCUCGGCCUGACUGACAGCCGCCCGCUCCUGGACUCGGAUCAGCUCCUUCACCUCGCAGCUUUGUUUCUCGAUGGAGCGGAUCAACCUGGAGAAAAUCCUUUCGCUCUCCUCCACUGCUGCUUCUGUGGAGUGCUGUGAAUGGACAGAUGCUGCACUUCACCUCUGUGGGGUUGGUCAAGUGCUGGACAGCACCUUGAGAUCCGGUCUGCUGGAACUUCUCCACCACUUCACCCAGCACCGUGUUCCUGCUCAGCAGAGGCUUUGGGUUGAACACCUGCCGGCACUGAGGGCAGCUGUACUGGCUCUUCUGCUUGACUCUGUUCCAGUAGUCCUCGAUACAGUCCAGACAGUAGCUGUGUCCACAGGGGAUGGUCACCGGGUCUCUCAAAACCUCCA